GAUGAAGAACGCAGUGAAAUGCGAUAAGUAAUGUGAAUUGCAGAAUUCAGAGAAUCAUCGAAUCUUUGAACGCACAUUGCGCCCGCCAGUAUUCUGGCGGGCAUGCCUGUCUGAGCGUCAUUUCAACCCUCAUGCCCCUAGGGCGUGGUGUUGGGGAUCGGCCAAAGCCCGCGAGGGACGGCCGGCCCCUAAAUCUAGUGGCGGACCCGUCGUGGCCUCCUCUGCGAAGUAGUGAUAUUCCGCAUCGGAGAGCGACGAGCCCCUGCCGUUAAACCCCCAACUUUCCAAGGUUGACCUCAGAUCAGGUAGGAAUACCCGCUGAACUUAAGCAUAUCAAUAAGCGGAGGA
rnacentral:misc_RNA from 1 species